GCAUAUCAAUAAGCGGAGGAAAAGAAACUAACAAGGAUUCCCCUAGUAGCGGCGAGCGAAGCGGGAAGAGCUCAAAUUUAUAAUCUGGCACCUUCGGUGUCCGAGUUGUAAUCUCUAGAAAUGUUUUCCGCGUUGGACCGCACACAAGUCUGUUGGAAUACAGCGGCAUAGUGGUGAGACCCCCGUAUAUGGUGCGGACGCCCAGCGCUUUGUGAUACAUUUUCGAAGAGUCGAGUUGUUUGGGAAUGCAGCUCAAAUUGGGUGGUAAAUUCCAUCUAAAGCUAAAUAUUGGCGAGAGACCGAUAGCGAACAAGUACCGUGAGGGAAAGAUGAAAAGCACUUUGGAAAGAGAGUUAACAGUACGUGAAAUUGUUGGAAGGGAAACGCUUGAAGUCAGACUUGCUUGCCGAGCAAUCGGUUUGCAGGCCAGCAUCAGUUUUCCGGGAUGGAUAAUGGUAGAGAGAAGGUAGCAGUUUCGGCUGUGUUAUAGCUCUCUGCUGGAUACAUCUUGGGGGACUGAGGAACGCAGUGUGCCUUUGGCGGGGGUUUCGACCUCUCACACUA
rnacentral:rRNA from 1 species